UUCCAUGGGAACCUAGCUUUUUUUUUUUUAAGAUUUUAUUUAUUUAUUCAUGAGAGACACACACACAGAGAGAGAGAGAGAGAGAGAGAGAGAGAGAGAGAGGCAGAGACACAGGCAGAGGGAGAAGCAGGCUCCAUGCAGGGAGCCCGACGCGGGACUCGAUCCCGGGACUCCAGGAUCGCGCCUUGAGUUGAAGGCAGGCGCUCUACCGCGGAGCCACGCAGCUGUCCCAGGGCACUAGCUCCUUAACUUGGAGGACCGCGUGGCCGCGCUCCCCGUCCGGUGCCCUCCAGCUGGGACGGAGUCUGCAGAGAGUUGAGGGGCAGAGUAGGGGGCUGGAGGAGAGGGGGCACCCGGGACCAGCACUCCCAAAUCCCUGGCGUCCAGCCGUCCGCGCGCUCCCGGGGCCUCGGCGUUCCGAGGCGAGGUGGCCCCGGGAGGCCGGGGUUGGCGGGGCCAGUGUCCGGCCGAGCCUGCGCGCCGCCGACAGAGGAUAUGGGGUCAUUACCCCCUCAUUGCACACCAUGUGCAAGAAGAAAGAAAGGGAACUGCAUGGUCUGAACGACAAUCUCAGCUCAGGAUCUGGAGUCAGAGCAACUUGGGAGACCCAUAGUGAGCAGUUACAUCAUCUUCCUGGCAGCCUGUGCUCCCAUCCUAGAGUCCCGUUCUUCCUCUCUGUCCUGUCCCUCCAGUUUGCCACCCCACUGGAUGCAGGUAAGUGUCUGCUGGGUGUGUCAGGAUUCCUGUGUAACUAAGGGCCACGUGAAGCUUUACUCACUCCAGACCUGGCCCUUGAGAGGAGGUUACCACAGUUCAGUGCCUGCCUUGGGGGCCUACAUCAGCCUGCUUCAGGGACAUGCUGGUCCUUUACAGUUUACAGCAGCCAGAAAGUCUUAUUUUAUGACUUUCCCUUUCCCAUCUGAGGGAUCUGAGUUUUUUAGGUUAUAGACCAAAGAGCCAAAUGGUGGCAUUGAGAGCAGUGAUCUUCCCACUGUCUUGGCUAUAACUAAAGGGGGUGCCAUCUGCCUCCUGGUAAGGCCAUGGUCCUAAACUAACCUGAAAGUAGACCUGUACUCCCCUUUCUUCCCAUUUCAACCAGAGUUCCCUACCCAUUUUCCUGAGUUUUCCAGCCUGGCCCAGCUGCUCUCUGUUAUUAGAUGUAUUUGGCCAGAGUCUCUCACUCUCAUGCCCUCACUAGACACUGACUUGCUCCCAUGGCAGCAUGUCACACCAGGCUAGUGCUCCUCCCCCUACUCUGCCAGAUUGGCCUGCUCCUAGGUAGCCACCUUGGAUCACUGGGACACCAUAGGGGAUUCUGUAUCUGGUUGGAGGACUAAGAAUACAAAGAUAUUCUCCCAUUGGGUGGGGAGGCAAGUCAGCAAAGUUUGUCCAGUGAGAUUCCCUGGCCUCAGUAAAAAUGCCACACUCCACUCCAUUGGCACACCUGGCAGCAGCUCAGUGAGCCUCAGAGGUAAAGAUGGGUAGGUAGGUGUGGCAGGAAGGGGCACAUGGAACAAACCUGGAUGCAAGCAAGGCACCAUUUGCUGGCCUAACUCAAGUCAGACUUACUUGUGGGGGUGGGGGACAGGUUGGGUGAAGGAAGAUGUCCCAAAAGGCCAGGGAGACAGAGCUGAUUAUAUGUAUCCCACAAAAUUUAUGUGGCCUGAGAAGGCUUGGAACUGAGUGGGCAUGCUCAGGGCAGUAGCUGCCUGUCUACCCCGGAAGCACAUACAGCUGUGCAGUUCAUUUCUUGGUUUGGUGGAUUGACUCCCAUCUACCAAAGGCCUAGGAGACCUUCUCUAUAGCUUGUGGCAUGAACUAUAUUCAUAAUGUUGUGCACUAUAACCACUGUCCAUUUUUAGAAUGGAUAGAGAAUGAGAGUGGGGAGAGGGGAAGAGGAGAGGAGAGAGAGAGAGAGAGAGAGAGAGAAGCAGACUCCCCACUGAGUGCAGAGCCAACAUGGGGCUCGGAACCAAAGUCAAAAGUUGGAUGCUCAACCAACUAAGCCACCCAGGCACCCCUCCAUUCUACUUUCUAUCUUCAUAAAUUUGCUUAUCCUACAUACCUCACGUCAGUGGAAUCAUUCAAUAUUUGUCAUUUUGUAUCUGGCUCACACCACUUAGCAUAAUAUCUUCAAGAUUCACCUAUGCUUCUAGCGUGUGCCAGAAUUGAAGGCAGAAUAACAUUCUACCACAUGGAUAGACCACAUUUUGUUUAGC
rnacentral:lncRNA from 1 species